rnacentral:rRNA from 1 species
CGUGAGGAACCUGCCUUUCAGAGGGGGACAACAGUUGGAAACGACUGCUAAUACCGCAUAAUAUAUCUGUAUCGCAUGGUAUGGAUAUCAAAGAUUUAUCGCUGAAAGAUGGCCUCGCGUCUGAUUAGCUAGUUGUAGGGUAACGGCCUACCAAGGCGACGAUCAGUAGCCGGACUGAGAGGUUGGCCGGCCACAUUGGGACUGAGAUACGGCCCAGACUCCUACGGGAGGCAGCAGUGGGGAAUAUUGGGCAAUGGGCGCAAGCCUGACCCAGCAACGCCGCGUGAAGGAAGAAGGCUUUCGGGUUGUAAACUUCUUUUAAGAGGGAAGAGCAGAAGACGGUACCUCUUGAAUAAGCCACGGCUAACUACGUG